rnacentral:rRNA from 1 species
GAUGAACGCUGGCGGCGUGCCUAAUACAUGCAAGUCGAGCGAACUGAUUAGAAGCUUGCUUCUAUGACGUUAGCGGCGGACGGGUGAGUAACACGUGGGCAACCUGCCUGUAAGACUGGGAUAACUUCGGGAAACCGAAGCUAAUACCGGAUAGGAUCUUCUCCUUCAUGGGAGAUGAUUGAAAGAUGGUUUCGGCUAUCACUUACAGAUGGGCCCGCGGUGCAUUAGCUAGUUGGUGAGGUAACGGCUCACCAAGGCAACGAUGCAUAGCCGACCUGGGAGGGUGAUCGGCCACACUGGGACUGAGACACGGCCCAGACUCCUACGGGAGGCAGCAGUAGGGAAUCUUCGGCAAUGGGCGAAAGCCUGACCGAGCAACGCCGCGUGAAUGAUGAAGGCCUUCGGGUUGUAAAAUUCUGUUAUAAGGGAAGAACGACUUUAGUAGGAAAUGGCUAGAGUGUGACGGUACCUUAUGAGAAAGCCACGGCUAACUACGUGCCAGCCGCCGCGGUAACAC